CAAUAGACUGAUAAAUUGCACGAGGAGAUCCAUCUGAUAUCAUUAAUAUUAACACACAGAAACCAGCACCAAUAUUGUGUUCAGAUAGAACAGAAGUAAAUAUCCAUCAACAGAGAGAAGGCUGCUAGCAGUGUGUGUGUGCGUGCGUGCGUGCGUGCGUGCGUGCGUGCGUGCGUGCGUGCGUGCGUGCGUGCGUGCGUGCGUGCGUGCGUGUGUGUCAGUAAUGACAGGGACUCUUCAUCGAUUUCACCCGCCUCAAUUUCUUCAUUUCAUUUCCCUUGACACCUGGAGGCCCCCUCAUGCUGCUCCUGCUGCUGUGUGAUUAUGGAGGUGAACUGUCUGCUUGAUCCGUGUUUCAGGAGAAACUGUUUGCAUCAUGGCUGACGGGUCUGGAGCUUAUUCAUAUGACGCACCGAAGUCUCAAUUUGCUGCAGCCAGUGAACACGCUCAAGGACUCAGCUCCUCUGGUGUGGCUCAUUCAAACCUGAGAUCCUGACCUCCAACAUACAAACUCGCCUGUGAGGCACAGUGGACAUGACAUCAUGGCUCGGGAUGAGUUCCAACCUUCAUCUUCACCAGCUCCUUCAAAAGGCACCACAGACAACAUGUCUCAAUAAUGUUCAGAAAGGAGUAAGUUAUUGAUAGUAUUAUUUGUAAUCAUCUUAUUAUGAUGACAAUUAAAAAUAA